rnacentral:rRNA from 1 species
GACGAACGCUGGCGGCGUGCUUAACACAUGCAAGUCGAACGGAAAGGCCCUGCUUUUGUGGUGUUCUCGAGUGGCGAACGGGUGAGUAACACGUGAGUAACCUGCCCUUGACUUUGGGAUAACUUCAGGAAACUGGGGCUAAGACCGUAUAGGAUCUCCUGCUGCAUUGUGGGGGGGGGAAAUUUGCGGCGGUUGGGGCUGGACGCGCGGCUUAUCAGCUUGUUGGUGGGGUAGUGGCUUACCCAGGCUUUGACGGGUAGCCGGCCUGAGAGGGUGAACGGCCACAUUGGGACUGAGAUACGGCCCAGACUCCUACGGGAGGCAGCAGUGGGGAAUAUUGCACAAUGGGAGGAAGCGUGAUGAAGAAACGCCGCGUGCGGGAUGACGGCCUUCGGGUUGUAAACCGCUUUAGCCUGUGACGAAGCGUGAGUGACGGUAAUGGGUAAAGAAGCACCGGCUAACUACGUG